AUUGAACGCUGGCGGCAGGCCUAACACAUGCAAGUCGAGCGGAUGACGGGAGCUUGCUCCUUGAUUCAGCGGCGGACGGGUGAGUAAUGCCCAGGAAUCUGCCUGGUAGUGGGGGACAACGUUUCGAAAGGAACGCUAAUACCGCAUACGUCCUACGGGAGAAAGCAGGGGACCUUCGGGCCUUGCGCUAUCAGAUGAGCCUAGGUCGGAUUAGCUAGUUGGUGGGGUAAUGGCUCACCAAGGCGACGAUCCGUAACUGGUCUGAGAGGAUGGUCAGUCACACUGGAACUGAGACACGGUCCAGACUCCUACGGGAGGCAGCAGUGGGGAAUAUUGGACAAUGGGCGAAAGCCUGAUCCAGCCAUGCCGCGUGUGUGAAGAAGGUCUUCGGAUUGUAAAGCACUUUAAGUUGGGAGGAAGGGCAGUAAGUUAAUACCUUGCUGUUUUGACGUUACCGACAGAAUAAGCACCGGCUAACUCUGUGCCAGCCGCCGCUGUAAAAC
rnacentral:rRNA from 1 species